rnacentral:rRNA from 1 species
ACGGGUGAGUAACGCGUGGGUAACCUGCCUUAUACAAGGGGAUAACAGAGGGAAACUUCUGCUAAUACCGUAUAAAAAUAUUUCACGCAUGUGAGAUAUUUGAAAGAUUUAUCAGUAUGAGAUGGACCCGCGUCUGAUUAGGUAGUUGGUGAGGUAGAGGCUCACCAAGCCGACGAUCGGUAGCCGAUCUGAGAGGAUGACCGGCCACAUUGGGACUGAGACACGGCCCAAACUCCUACGGGAGGCAGCAGUGGGGAAUAUUGGACAAUGGGGGCAACCCUGAUCCAGCGACGCCGCGUGAGUGAAGAAGUAUUUCGGUAUGUAAAGCUCUAUCGAUAACGGAAGAAGAUGACAAGCCGUUAAGGAAGAAGCCCCGGCUAACUACGUGCCAGCAGCCGCGGUAAUACGUAGGGGGCAAGCGUUAUCCGGAUUUACUGGGUGUAAAGGGAGCGCAGACGGCAAAUAAAGUCUGAAGUGAAAUCCCGCAGCUCAACUGCGGAGUUGCUUUGGAAACUUAUAAGCUGGAGUGUCGGAGGGGUAAGCGGAAUUCCCAGUGUAGCGGUGAAAUGCGUAGAUAUUGGGAGGAACACCGGAGGCGAAGGCGGCUUACUGGAAGAUAACUGACGUUGAGGCUCGAAGGCGUGGGUAGCAAACAGGAUUAGAUACUCCUGGUAGUCCACGCAGUAAAC